UUUCCGUUGGUGAACCAGCGGAGGGAUCAUUACAGAGUUUUCAUUACUCCCAAUUUUUGCGAACAGUACCCACUCUGUUCUCGUUGAUUCCGGCGGGGUGGACGGGGGGGCCCGAAAAGGCCCCUAUGUUCUGUCCGCCGGGGGCGGAGGACUAUACGAACCAUUAUAUUUCAACAACCAGCAACCGUCAGCGAAAACAAACACAAUAACCAAAGUUUUCAACAACGGAUCUCUUGGCUCCGGCAUCGUUGACGAAAGCAGCACAUUGGAAGCGCAUAA
rnacentral:misc_RNA from 1 species